rnacentral:rRNA from 1 species
GACGAACGCUGGCGGCGUGCUUAACACAUGCAAGUCGAACGGGUCUGCCCUGUUUUUUGCGGGGUGGGUCAGUGGCGAACGGGUGAGUAACACGUGAGUAACCUGCCCCUCACUUCUGGAUAACCGCUUGAAAGGGUGGCUAAUACGGGGUGUUCUGGCUGUGCCGCAUGGUGUGGCUGGGAAAGAUUCACUUUUGUGGGGUUUUGGUGGGGGAUGGGCUCGCGGCCUAUCAGCUUGUUGGUGGGGUGAUGGCCUGCCAAGGCUUUGACGGGUAGCCGGCCUGGGAGGGUGGGCGGUCACACGGGGACUGAGAUACGGCCCAGACUCCUGCGGGAGGCAGCAGUGGGGGGUAUUGCACAAUGGGCGGAAGCCUGAUGCAGCGACGUCGCGUGAGGGAUGGAGGCCUUCGGGUUGUGAACCUCUUUCGCCGGUGAAGAAGGUCCUGCUCUUUGUGGUGGGGUUGACGGUAGCCGGGUUAUGAAGCGCCGGCUAACUACGUG